GAACAGAAUCUGUCUUCUUCCUUAAAAGAUCUGCUUCUCCAGGUCCCUCCUUCAUCCCAUACAGCUGCUUCCAGCUCCUGAGAGAGAAUAACUGAGCAGCUCAAAUAGAUGGCUAUAGUUUUCUGCUCGUGUUCAGGACACUGGCAAAGGACACCAAUUAAACAGGAUGAUCAACUAAGAGGGCAAUUCUAACAUCUACACUAGGCAGGAAAAUAGAACCAAAUCCCAAAGCUUGUCUGUCUGCAAACAACUACAGGCUUUCCUGUGAACAGAGCGGCUGGCCCGGUGAGGACACUGAAGUUCAGAGAAACUAAGUGUGUCAGCAAGAGGAUGAUGGACAUCUAGAGCCCAGGACUCCUGACCCUAAAUCCAGGGCUCUUUCAUCUGCAGCCCCUUGAUCCUGCCUGUGGACUUUGAGUAUCCAUGAGCCAUGCUGUCACGUGACUGCAAGAUUUCAGGGAAGGGAUACAUAAUUUACAUUCAAAAAAUAAAUUAUUAAGCUCUCUUAUGGGCUAAAUUGCACCCCUUCAAAGUUCACAUAUCAAAACCGAGACAGGAACUUUAAAGAGGUCUAAGUUAAGAGGAGGUUAUUAGCGUAGGCCCUAAUCCAAUAUGACUGAUAUCUUUAUAAGAGGAGGAGAUUAAGAUAGAGACAAUCAGAGGAAAGACUAUGUGAGGAGACAGCAAGAAGGUGGCCACCUGUGACCCAAGGAGAUGAGGCCUCAGAAUAGCAACCUCGAUCUUGAACUUCCUUAAAAUACCUGCCAAUACCUUGGGCUUGAACUUCUAGUCUCCUAAACUGUCAGAAAAUGCACUUCUGCUGUUUAAGCUACCUAGUCUGUGGUACUUUGUUAUGGCAGCCCUAGCAAACUAAUACAGGCUCUCUUGCAGAAGUUCUCCCAAAGCGUGAGCGCAUACCACCACGGUGUCAAGCUGAUUUCAAGCACCGCAGGCACAGAAUUAACAAAUACUGGGUCAGUUAAGGUUCUGUUUGGUAGGUAAUAAGAGAAACCUUGACUAAAGCUGAAACAGAGUUUAUUUUACCUCACUUAGCAAGAAGUGAGGCAGUAGGUGGGCCUGGGGACAUUUUCUUUUUUUCUGUUCUGCCAUUCUUAGGAGCUAGGCUAUGUGUAAGGAAGAAUCCAGGGGUUCUUAAGUACUUGAGAUACUUGAGACAUAGACCGUUUGUUAUGAGCUGAAUUAUACCCCCACCCCAAAUUCAUAUGUUGAAGCCUGAACUCCCACUAUCUCAAAAUAUGACUGUAUUUGAAGAUAGGAGCUUUAAAAAGGUGAUUAAGUUAAAAUGGGGCUGUUAGAAUGGGCCUAAUCUAAUUAUAAAAAGAGGAGAUUAGGAUACAGACAACACAGAAAGCAGGGAGACCAUGUGGGGAUACAGUAGGAAGGUGGCCAUCUGCAAGCCCAGGAGAGGGGUCUCAAAAGAAACCACCUAGACUUCUAGCCUCCAGAACUGUGAGAAAAUAAAUUUCUACUACUUGAGUAA